GGGGUAAACCUGCGAAACUCGAAUGAACGAACGGAGAGAUUCAUCGUCAUUCCGCGGCGUACGUCUGCGCGUCUAGAUGUUCGCCGGUCUCGAUCGGCGGGCACUGCGCGUAGGCGUCGACGUCCGUGGACGGCGUGCACUUCUCUCUUAGUAACGAUUGCAUCGCGACCCGUUCGAUGUCGGUCUAAGCCCCGUUCGGGAGCCCCGCCGUCCCUUCGCGGGGGCGACGGGACCGCGACGGACGCCGACCGGCCGUCGGACGGUAUAACGAACGAAACGCGCACGCGUAUCAUACGCGUCCGGCCCGACGCAAGUCAACGUCGUAUCCGACUUCCCGCCCGAGUGCGGACGUUGGUGCGGCGCGUCUGUCGUCGCAGCCGUGCAGUCUCGGACCGUGCGCGUCUCCGUCUGCGAUGAUUCGGUUUCGGGCACUCGCAGGACCCGUCUUGAAACACGGACCAAGGAGUCUAGCAUGUAUGCGAGUCAUUGAGAUUUUUUCAAUAAACUGAAAGGCGUAACGAAAGUGAAGGCGUGCGCUCGUCGCGCGCUCAGGGAGGAUGGAGCUGCGGUCUAGGUCGCACUCUCGCACUCCCGAGGCGUCUCGUUUCCAAUCCUGUGAAUGCAGGCGCGCUC
rnacentral:rRNA from 1 species